AUGGUUGUCGUCAGCUCGUGUCGUGAGAUGUGGGUUAAGUCCCGCAACGAGCGCACCCUACUUGCUAGUUACCAUCAUUAAGUUGGGGACUCUAGCGAGACUGCCAGUGAUAAACUGGAGGAAGGUGGGGAUGACGUCAAAUCAUCAUGCCCCUUAUGACCUGGGCUACAAACGUGAUACAAUGGCUGGAACAAAGGGAUGCGAAGCAGUGAUGUGGAGCGAAACCCAUAAAAACAGUCUCAGUUCGGAUUGAAGUCUGCAACUCGACUUCAUGAAGUCGGAAUCGCUAGUAAUCGCGGAUCAGAACGCCGCGGUGAAUACGUUCUCGGGGUUU
rnacentral:rRNA from 1 species